rnacentral:lncRNA from 1 species
GCCUGGGUCAUCAGGGUGCUGAGGGGUCACUCAUUCAGCCUCCCUGAAUCUAUCAAGUUCCAUUUCUCCUCUGCCAGGCCCUAUAGUGGCAGGGUGUCCCUCCUCGAAGUCAGUAUUGGAAUGGAGUGUGAAUGCCUCUGCUCUGAUUCCUGAACCACGCUGCAUUAACCUGUUCCCACCACACUUCUUACCAGAAUUCUGGGGACUAGGUGGCACGGAUGCUGCCCUGACUUUGAAGAUCGCUGAUGCGCCACGUGCCCGCCUUGAAGGGCCGUUGUGGAAAGACGGGUGUGAAGCAUUCAUGGUUUAAAGGUUUUUAUCAAAGCUUCUGAACUUGGAGAUUCUCUCAUGACAUUUACUUAUUCCUUUUUAUUUAUUU